CUCCUCAGAGCUGCGCACCUGAGCCGCUGAGACAGUGGCUCUACUUCGAGAGCCAUGGCGUCUGAAGAUAUUACAGGCAACAGACACGACAGCUGAUUGUCAACUUCAAUCAAGUACGUUAAGAUUUCCUACCUGGAGGUGAGGGUGUGUUUUAUAGGACUCCGCCGCCGCCAACGCUGCCUCCGCCGCCGGCGCACAUGCUGAGCUGAUGAGGUUUUCUCGUUCCUGAGUGUCCAAGUAAGAAUAAAUCAAUCAGUCAACCGUUAUUCACUCUGGGAGAACCCUGAUGGGGCCCCUCG
ensembl:lncRNA